rnacentral:rRNA from 1 species
UAUCUCUGUAGAGUCUGCAUAUCAAUAAGCGGAGGAAAAGAAACUAACAAGGAUUCCCUUAGUAACGGCGAGUGAAGCGGGAAGAGCUCAAAUUUGAAAUCUUCAAGGUUUUACCUUGACGAAUUGUAGUUUAAAGAAGUGUUUUCUGUUGAAGUUUCGGUAAAAGUUCUUUGGAAUAGGACAUCAUAGAGGGUGAGAAUCCCGUAUUUGACCGUUAUUUUUCAGCUGUGUGAUACACUUUCAAAGAGUCGGAUUGUUUGGGAAUGCAGUCCAAAAUGGGUGGUAAAUUUCAUCUAAAGCUAAAUAUUGGCGAGAGACCGAUAGCGAACAAGUACCGUGAGGGAAAGAUGAAAAGAACUCUUGAAAAGAGAGUUAAACAGUACGUGAAAUUGUCAAAAGGGAAGCGUUUGACACCAGUGUUGUUUUCUCGAAAAUCAAUUAAAAAAUGGCUAGGAUUUUGUGUUGUAUUGACCUUAUAAGCUUUCUGCACUCUUUUUCUUGUCUUUUUUUAAUGCACUUUUCGUUUAACAAGUCAACAUCAGUUUCUUUUGUUAGUAAAAAGGUCAUUGGAAGGUGGCUUUCUUUUCGGAGAAAGUGUUUAUAGCCUUUGACUUCUGCAAUCGGAGAGACUGAGGUCUGCAGCGUAGAUCCUUCUGGAUUAGAUUCAUUUGUGCUAAGUUACAACCGUUUAUAGACAACUUGUUGACUAUAUUCGAUCCUGUAGCUUACUCGCUUAUGUAAUUUUACCUACGCUUAGGAUGUUGAUAUGCAUGACUGAUAU